CCUACGGGAUGCAGCAGUGAGGAAUAUUGGUCAAUGGACGAGAGUCUGAACCAGCCAAGUAGCGUGAAGGAUGACUGCCCUAUGGGUUGUAAACUUCUUUUAUAUGGGAAUAAAACGUUCCACGUGUGGGAUUUUGUAUGUACCAUAUGAAUAAGGAUCGGCUAACUCCGUGCCAGCAGCCGCGGUAAUACGGAGGAUCCGAGCGUUAUCCGGAUUUAUUGGGUUUAAAGGGAGCGUAGGUGGAUUGUUAAGUCAGUUGUGAAAGUUUGCGGCUCAACCGUAAAAUUGCAGUUGAAACUGGCAGUCUUGAGUACAGUAGAGGUGGGCGGAAUUCGUGGUGUAGCGGUGAAAUGCUUAGAUAUCACGAAGAACUCCGAUGGCGAAGGCAGUUCACUGGACUGCAACUGACACUGAGGCUCGAAAGUGUGGGUAUCAAACAGGAUUAGAUACCCCUGUAGUC
rnacentral:rRNA from 1 species